rnacentral:rRNA from 1 species
GCAGUCGAGCGGACAGAUGGGAGCUUGCUCCCUGAUGUCAGCGGCGGACGGGUGAGUAACACGUGGGUAACCUGCCUGUAAGACUGGGAUAACUCCGGGAAACCGGGGCUAAUACCGGAUGCUUGAUUGAACCGCAUGGUUCAAUUAUAAAAGGUGGCUUUUAGCUACCACUUACAGAUGGACCCGCGGCGCAUUAGCUAGUUGGUGAGGUAACGGCUCACCAAGGCAACGAUGCGUAGCCGACCUGAGAGGGUGAUCGGCCACACUGGGACUGAGACACGGCCCAGACUCCUACGGGAGGCAGCAGUAGGGAAUCUUCCGCAAUGGACGAAAGUCUGACGGAGCAACGCCGCGUGAGUGAUGAAGGUUUUCGGAUCGUAAAACUCUGUUGUUAGGGAAGAACAAGUACCGUUCGAAUAGGGCGGUACCUUGACGGUACCUAACCAGAAAGCCACGGCUAACUACGUGCCAGCAGCCGCGGUAAUACGUAGGUGGCAAGCGUUGUCCGGAAUUAUUGGGCGUAAAGCGCGCGCAGGCGGUUUUCUUAAGUCUGAUGUGAAAGCCCCCCGGCUCAACCGGGGAGGG